rnacentral:rRNA from 1 species
AUUGAACGCUGGCGGCAUGCCUUACACAUGCAAGUCGAACGGCAGCACGGGUGCUUGCACCUGGUGGCGAGUGGCGAACGGGUGAGUAAUACAUCGGAACAUGUCCUGUAGUGGGGGAUAGCCCGGCGAAAGCCGGAUUAAUACCGCAUACGAUCUACGGAUGAAAGCGGGGGACCUUCGGGCCUCGCGCUAUAGGGUUGGCCGAUGGCUGAUUAGCUAGUUGGUGGGGUAAAGGCCCACCAAGGCGACGAUCAGUAGCUGGUCUGAGAGGACGACCAGCCACACUGGGACUGAGACACGGCCCAGACUCCUACGGGAGGCAGCAGUGGGGAAUUUUGGACAAUGGGCGAAAGCCUGAUCCAGCAAUGCCGCGUGUGUGAAGAAGGCCUUCGGGUUGUAAAGCACUUUUGUCCGGAAAGAAAUCCUUGGCCCUAAUACGGUCGGGGGAUGACGGUACCGGAAGAAUAAGCACCGGCUAACUACGU